rnacentral:misc_RNA from 1 species
GAUGAAGAACGUAGUGAAAUGCGAUAAGUAAUGUGAAUUGCAGAAUUCAGUGAAUCAUCGAAUCUUUGAACGCACAUUGCGCCCAUUAGUAUUCUAGUGGGCAUGCCUGUUCGAGCGUCAUUUCAACCCUUAAGCCUCUGUUGCUUAGCGUUGGGAGCCUACCUACCCGGUAGAUCCUCAAAGUUAGCUGGCAGGGUCGAGGUUCGCCCUAAGCGUAGUAGUUCUUUCUCGCUUCUGCGGCUGCCUAGGCCAUCGCCACAAGCCUUUUAAACUUCAAUGGUUGACCUCGGAUCAGGUAGGAAUACCCGCUGAACUUAAGCAUAUCAAAAGCGGAGGA